UACGAGGGGUCCUAGCGUUGUUCGGAAUCAUUGGGCGUAAAGCGGGUGCAGGUGGUUAAGUCAGUCAGAUGUGAAAUCCCCGGGCUCAACCUGGGACGUGCAUUUGAUACUGCUUAACUUGAGUGCGGUAGAGGAUAGUAGAAUUCCUGGUGUAGUGGUGAAAUACGUAGAUAUCAGGAGGAACAUCGGUGGCGAAGGCGGCUAUCUGGGCCAGCACUGACACUCAGACCCGAAAGCGUGGGGAGCAAACAGG
rnacentral:misc_RNA from 1 species